GUCAGUGUCACAGGUAGACAAGUUAACUUCAAACAAAUAUUACAACAUACAGUUAUUGCGCUAGUUGUUUAUUACUGUUAAAGUAACGAUGUGUGUGUGAAUAUGUAAAUAAUUUGGAUGUUUUUUUACUGAUUUUGUUUUUCGUGCAAUCGUUUUUGGUUUUUUUGUAAAAAUGUUCAUGCCAUCUGAAGUUUUUGCGACGUUCGGAGUGUCUGCCGUGCUGUCAUUCUCCGUAUCUGUAUUUAUUUUACUCAUGUAUGCUUCGAAAAAAGGCCUGCUGCGACCGAAGAAAUUCGACCUGCUUAUGCCAUCAGAGACUGUCACCCCUGUACCGUCAGCGCCAGAAUUAACUCCUUUGAAAAAUUAACAAAUACAUGUAAAUAAGAAUUAUUAUCAAGUUAUAUGACGAAGGGUUUUAUAAAAUGUUUUAACAUUUGUGUAAUUAACUUUAAUUACUAAUAUAUUUAUUAGAAUAUUUAUAGGAAUAGAGGGCAGAGCGAAUAAAAAUAACAAUUAAUUUUAAACUGUAAAUACGACCAGACCUCCAAAUUGCCAGAUUCAUUUCUCAUUAAAAUUUGCACAUAAUACGUGUUCCGUUACCUAAAAUGAAACCAAAAACGUACCAAUUAUUGUAUUAUAUUUCCUGUAUCUGUUUGUAUUAUAGAAAAUUAGUCGUUUAUCUUUUAAAUUAACAAGUUCAAAAAGUCUCAAUAUUCAGGACUUUUUAUAUUACAGCUGUUCACGUUAAUUGUUAAAUCCUCACCCGAUUUUAAGAUUCGAUUCUUGUGUCUGGUCAUACGAGACUCGAGAGUCAUAUAAGAGCCAUUUUUAAACAAUCUCAUUCCGGAAUUAAUUUAGAUUUUAUCAAUUCUGAUAGAUGGCGCUUUAUAUGAAAAAUAAUUUUGGUGUUAUGCCAGUUAUUAGUAAUUUUCUUCGAUCACGCAGGCAAAAGCGUAAGUAUACACAGAAAAAAGUAAUAAUGUGUAAAUAAAUAUGAAAUGCUAUAAUGUGGUGAGAUAUGUCUUUAGACUUGUUCUCAUUAAUGUUUCGAAGAACGUAUCGGUUGUGUGUAUUAAUCACCAAUCGCAUUAUCAAUAGAAUAAAUAUUGUCUCUUUCUCUUGUAUGGACUUUUAUGAGAUGUAAUUACAAUCUCUUAUCAUUAUUGGUGAAAUUUGAUUUAUGUAAUCUGUACACUUUUCUAUAGUUACCUUUAUGUUUUUAUAAUAAAUUAAAACAUUAACCAAUGUACUUAAUUAUGCAAAGCAAUAUAAAAAUUUAUCACGACUUAAA